rnacentral:lncRNA from 1 species
AAAAUGUAUCAGCAUGUGCCAUUCUAAGCUGAGUGAGAAAAUGAAUUUAUUCAUGUUUACUUCUAGAGAUGACAGGGCCACACUCCUGCUUCUGGCCACUCUAUUCCUUCCCUCCUUAUCCCUGGUAUCCUUCCAUGGUACAGCUGCUUGUGGUUUAUGUUCCUUCUGGUAAACUCCUUGCUCACCUGUGGGAACUGAACAUAUUAGAGAACCAUCAAUAAACACACACUUUGCAUACCAUAAUCUAUACAUUUGACU